UACGAAGGGGGCUAGCGUUGCUCGGAAUCACUGGGCGUAAAGGGUGCGUAGGCGGGUCUUUAAGUCAGGGGUGAAAUCCUGGAGCUCAACUCCAGAACUGCCUUUGAUACUGGCAGGCUUGAAUCCGGGAGAGGGAUGCGGAAUUCCAGGUGUAGCGGUGAAAUGCGUAGAUAUCUGGAGGAAUACCGGUGGCGAAGGCGGCAUCCUGGACCGGCAUUGACGCUGAGGAGCGAAAGCUAGGGGAGCAAACGGG
rnacentral:rRNA from 1 species